rnacentral:rRNA from 1 species
GCAUAUCAAUAAGCGGAGGAAAAGAAACUAACAAGGAUUCCCCUAGUAACGGCGAGUGAAGAGGGAAGAGCCCAAGAUUGAAAGCUGGCGUCUUUGGCGUCCGCAUUGUAAUCUCAAGAAGUGUUUUCCGCUUCGGACCAUGCCUAAGUCCCUUGGAAAAGGGCAUCAUAGAGGGUGAUAAUCCCGUACAUGGCAUGGAGCGCCCGAAGCUUUGUGAUACACUUUCUAAGAGUCGAGUUGUUUGGGAAUGCAGCUCAAAAUGGGUGGUAAAUGCCAUCUAAGGCUAAAUAUUGGGGAGAGACCGAUAGCGAACAAGUACAGUGAUGGAAAGAUGAAAAGAACUUUGAAAAGAGAGUUAAACAGUACGUGAAAUUGCCAAAAGGGAAGGGUAGGAGGUCAGAGAUGCGGUCUGGGAUUCAGCCUUGCUUUUGCUGGGUGUUUUUCUCAGAUUGCAGGCCAACGUCGGUUUUGGGCGCUGGAGAAGGGUGGAAGGAAUGUGGCACCUCUCGGGGUGUGUUAUAGCCUUCUACUGGAUACAGUGACCGAGACCGAGGACAGCAGCGUACUCGCAAGAGCGGGCCUUCGGGCACCUUUACGCUUAGGGCGUUGGCAUAAUGGCCCUCUACCACCCGUCUUGAAACACGGACCAAGGAGUCUAACAUGUAUGCGAGUCUUUGGGUGGCAAACCCAUAGGCGCAAUGAAAGUGAAUUCAGGUGGGAUCCGCAAGGUGCACCAUCGACCGAUCCUCACGUCUUUUUAAGUCGUGGAUUUGAGUAAGAGCAUACCUGUUGGGACCCGAAAGAUGGUGAACUAUGCCUGAAUAGGGUGAAGCCAGAGGAAACUCUGGUGGAGGCUCGUAGCGGUUCUGACGUGCAAAUCGAUCGUCAAAUUUGGGUAUAGGGGCGAAAGACUAAUCGAACCAUCUAGUAGCUGGUUCCUGCCGA